CUGUUUUUUUUUUUAAUAUUUUUUAGGAAUAUGCUUUUUGGUUGAUCAAUAAGCUCAAGCCUUCGGACCUAUAAACUUGGCCGUGUUGGUUUUGGAUUGAAAUCUCUGCUUCCAAGGCGCCUAGACACCAUGCAGUGAGUUUUUCUUGGCAUUUUUGCAUUGAUGAAAGGCUGUAAUUUUUAAAACUUGUUCCUUUGCUUAUUCCUUAUUGUUCUAGAUAUUAACUUUUGCUAAUUUUACUAAGGUAGAAGAACUGUUUGAUUUGUAUUUGUGAUGCUAUAAAUGUUAGUUUCUUGGUUAGGAAUUAUGAGUAGAGUGGGAGAGAAAUGCUUCCUAGCUCUCUCUCUCUCUCUCUCUCUCUCUCUCUAUCUAUCUCUCUCUCAUUUUAAUAGUAUAAGUGAAAGGGCUCGAACCAGGACCUCUCACUUACACUCUCUCCCCCCUAGCCACCCGACCCAUCCCUCCUUCAUGCGUCCCAGUUCUUGUUAACUAUAAGACAAUAAAAAUGUUGUAAUUUGUGUGGAAUUUGCAUCAUAAAAAUCCUGCUUGUUUAGGAGUUGGGGGCUGUUAGGACACAAGUUCUUGUUGUUUUGGCCAUAUUAAUAAAGAGUUCUGAGUUAUAUUAGAAAAAAUAACAGGGUGGGGUAUUGUUGAAUUAAUGUGGUUGUCUAGUUGUGAUAUUAUGUUGCAGAUCCAUAUUAUUUGCGGUUUGGAUGGAUUUUUCUAUUUGAUCAAGGUGAUCAAUAGGAUGUAAUUGUUGAAAUGAAUAUCUAUAAUUUUUUUAGCUGGCAUUUGAAAUGUUAGCUUGGCCCAGUAAUACAGAAGCGGGGUGGAGUGAUUUUGUGUGCUUGUGCUUACUUGAGGAAGUGGCUGCGGCUAAACAGCUUAAUUUAGUGAAAGCAGAGGAAUGAAAUACCAAUCUUCAUCACAUGAAUAAUUUGGAUUAUUACUUUAAGGAAUUUGCCUGAUUGAAUUAAAUUAUGCAUACUGGUUUAUAUCAAAUGCUAGUGGUAGAGAUAAUUAAUAGGCUUAUAUAGUAGUUUGAAAAGUUUUAACUACAUUGUUUGUACUUGCCUUAAAAUUCUUGAGCCGCUAAUUGACCAUUGAGUAUUGCAAUAGUUGUUCCUGUUGUCUAAUGGUUUACCAACUUCACUUAUUAUGUUUUGCUUUUGCAUCUAUGUGGUUGUAAUCUGCUUAGUUUCUGUGCGUUUCCAUAUGGUACUUAUAUUUAAAAUCUAUCCAAUUAUGUAUUUAAAUCUAUUUUCCAAAUAUUGCCUGUGAAGUUGAGUGAUGGAAUUUCAACUUUGGCUGUUUGUAGAAGAUAUUUAUUCUCUGAAUUUAAUUUGGUCAUCUUUCCAAUUACAGAACAAGGAAAAUUUUUGGGAUUUCCCUGUCCCUGAUUAUCAUUAACAUGGCUGCUAUAAUGGAGCGAGCUGAUGAAAAUCUCCUUCCAUCUGUUUACAAAGAAGUCAGUGAAGCUUUUUCUGCAGGGCCAUCUGAUCUUGGUUAUCUGACUUUUAUACGCAAUUUCAUUCAGGGAUUGGCUUCUCCAGUAGCAGGUAUAUUAGCGAUUAGUUAUGACCGCCCUACUGUUCUUGCGGUUGGUACUCUCUGCUGGGCCUUGUCAACAGCUGCAGUAGGUGUUAGCCAGGACUUUUUACAAGUUGCAUGUUGGAGAGCAGUAAAUGGUUUUGGACUGGCUAUUGUGAUUCCAGCACUUCAGUCUUUCAUUGCUGAUAGCUAUGUUGAUCGUGUGCGAGGGACUGGUUUUGGGUUUCUAAAUCUCGUUGGUACUGUGGGUGGUAUAGGAGGUGGAGCAAUUGCUACAGUUAUGGCUGGUCAUAAUUUCUGGGGUAUACCUGGAUGGAGAUUUGCCUUCAUGGUGAUGGCAGCAUUGAGCUGUUUGAUUGCUUUUCUUGUUCAUGCAUUUGUUGCUGACCCAAGAAGAAGAACUACUACUAACCACGAUACCAGCCAGGCUUUGUUCAGGUACAAGCUACUUCAACCUGUAACUUUGUGGGUGCUGAAUUUGUUAGAAAUCUCGUUGUCUCCCACUGUAUAUUUUCUGCCUUCAAGUAGAUAAAAGAUCAUUUCGUACAUAGUCAUCAGUUGAUGGUUUGCUGUGAAGCUUUCUCUCAUUGCGUAAUAAUGUGAUCUCCUUUCUGGUUUAGGGAUGAAGUGAUGGAUAAGGGAAAUGCUAACUCAGUGUCACUUUGGGUGGAAUCAUGGCAAGCAAUGAAAGCUGUUACAAGAGUUCCCACUUUCCAAUACAUUGUGUUGCAGGGUCUUGUUGGUUCACUGCCUUGGACAGCCCUAGUAUUUUUGACGCUGUGGUUUGAACUAAUUGGUAAUCUUGGCACAUGUGAUACCCAUUGUUUUUGCCUCUUGACUCGUACUUUCUACAGAUAUGUUAAAUAGGUUUUGUUUCCAAUAAUUGCACCUUGAGAUCCACAUUCAUUAUGGUCCUUUCUUCAUUGUUUCUGAAAUUUAAUUGGUUUGAUUUCCUACUCUACUUUUUGAGGCAUUAUGCAUGAAUUAUUGAUUUGGCAUGUGAACUUGGGAACUCAACCAUGAGAACAGAGAAGUUGCUCAUAGUGUGUUUAGGCGGAGAUAUGAGCAACAUCAGGCAGGUUUCAGACCUAGCUGCAUGAUAGAAAGAAUGCCUUCAAAUUUAAGACAAAUUUCUUGUCUUUCCUCCUUUUAAAACAUCUAGGAUGAAUGAAAAAUGCUCCCUUCCCAACCCCAGCUGGGUGCAAGGCUACCACCCUUCAUUCACCACCUAAAAACAAUAUAUAUAUAUAUAUAUAUAUGUUGGGGUUUUAGGUGCUGAAAUUAAUUGUAAGGUCUAUUUGCUUGUUGAUUCUAGCUUUGAUGUAGAGAAUGCGUUGCAAAUUUUUUGGCAGGUUUUGAUCACAACAGUUCAGCAGCCCUUGUCGGUAUCUUUGCUGCUGGAUGUGCACUGGGGUCUUUCGUUGGUGGAAUAAUUGCAGAUCAAAUGUCACGCUUAUACCCAAAUUCAGGGCGCAUAAUGUGUGCACAGUUCUGUGCUUUUAUGGGCAUUCCAUUCUCAUGGUUCCUUCUGAGAGUUAUCCCACAGUCUGUGAGCAGCUAUUCGACAUAUGCUGUCACCCUCUUCUUGAUGGGCCUUACUAUUAGCUGGUGUGCUACUGCUACAAAUGGUCCAAUGUUUGCUGAGGUUGUCCCUGUGAAACAUCGGACCAUGAUUUAUGCAUUUGAUCGUGCUUUUGAAGUAUCCUUUUCUUCUUUUGCUGCCCCUGUGGUUGGAAUUCUUGCAGAAAAGAUGUAUGGCUACGAUCCAAAAUCUGUUGAUCCUGUUGUAGGGUCCGGAAGAGAAGCCUUGGCUUUGUCAAGAGGCCUUUUCUCCAUGAUGGCAGUUCCAUUUGGUUUGUGCGGUUUAUUUUACACACCUUUGUAUUGGAAUUUCGGGCAUGAUCGAGAAAAUGCU
rnacentral:lncRNA from 1 species